AGGUGUUUGUCACUGACAGCAGCUAACGAGCAUCGGAAUUUACGAGGAGUUUGAGGCACGGCUGAAAGCUAAUUCCUGUAAGGGUCAGAUUCUCUUUACUUCCUUAAGUCUCUUAUUCUCUCUGUUUGGCUGCUUUAUGUACUGAUUAUUUGUAGAUUUGUUUGUGGAAUCGCAUGACCCUAUUGAUCUCUAGUUAUGGGGUUACUAAUUUUUGUUGAUUUCGGAAAUGGGUAUUUGUUUCUCAAUAGAAAAUGAUUGCUUCUUGGAUCAAAUCAAGAUUUUUUUGGAUGUUUUUACUUUUGUGAUCACUUUUUUUUGCUCCUGUCCUUGUUAUCUGACUGUUAAAUACAUCUAUGUUCGAAUAAGUUGGUAAAAAGAAUGCGACACCCACCACUCUGUUAAAGAGAUGGAAUUUGGGUUUAACUUAAACCCUAAAAGCUAAUUCAAGAGGCGAGGGCUUUGGUUAUGAAUUUAUAAAUUGUAGUAUUUUUAUGCGGUCUUGAACAAUUACUUGAAUUAGGUCUAAAGUUCAUUUUUUUAACAUGAUAUGACUCAUCCCUUAUGUUGACCAAUGUUUGUCCCGACUUUAUGUUUCUCCUUUUCUUUUAGUUUCCCAUUGGGUGUCUAAUAUUUGCAUUGGAGCCCCAAACUAAUCCGAGUUUGCAUAAAGGCCCACUAAAGGGGAAACGUUGAGGUGGAGCUCGGAUUUGAAGUUUAUGGGUUUUGAACUUGUCGUUAAACUCAUAGCACGUCUUAAUUAUUGGGUUCCCAAUUAAAUAUUUAUACAUAUUUAGAUAAUUUUUUAAUACAAAUACAAGGUCUAAGAGAAAGUCAUUGGAAUCGUCCGAAUCUGUAGGUAAUACUUUGCCUCCGCCCUGGGUAAUUGCUUCCAAAUAGGAUUUUUUCAGUGUCAAUAUUCGAACCCGUGACUUCUGAGUAACGACGGAGGGAUCUUAUUUAUCCUACCACAUACUUUGUUACUGUCCCAUUUUAUGUAUCCGUUCUUGAAUAUGCAACCCUCGGUGUGUCGGGAUGUUAGACUUCAACUUUGAUUGUGAGGGUAUGGACUAUAGUAUCUUUUUGUUGUCCUGGAUAAACCUCACUUGUUGAGCUAGUUUUCAGAGUUUAGUCAAGUCCAAUGACCAUCUUCUUAACAGAGCGUCUGGUAGGAGUUGAGUCAAGUCCAAGCUCAUUUUCUUAAUAGAGUGUGAUGGUGUGUACGCAAAGGCGUGAGUGCCUCCACACCUGCCGUCCCCAAUACAUACUGGCACAUAAGUAUGAAUUAUUAAAACCUCCUUGCAGUGGUCAGGAUUUUGCGCAUCAGUGUUCAAGUGCAAAGACAAGAUGGGUUGCUCUGAUGGUAAGCACCUUUCACUUCCAACCAAGAGGUUGCGAGUUCGAGUCACCCCAAGAGCAAUGUGGGGAGUUCUUGGAGGAAAGGAUGCCGAGGGUCUAUUGGAAACAGUCUCUCUAUCCAAGAGUAGGGGUAAGGUCUGCGUACACACUACCAUCCCCAAACCCACUAGUGGGAUUAUACUUGUCACGACCCGGAUGACCCGGAUUUCCCGCCAUCAGUAGUCGUGAUGGCGCCUAUUGUCGGAGCUAGGCAAGCCAAACAUCACAACAUUUCUACUGACUUCAUUUAAACAAUUAAAAUCAACUGAUACCAUAAUUAAAGCGGAAGACCUUUUAAUACUUAAAUAACUGAAAACAGAAAUACGGAAAGUUCAAAAUGUACAUCUACCCAGUAUUUAGUGUCACUAUUCACGGACUACUACAGAAUACUACAAACAGUGUCUGGAAAGGAAAUACAUAGUGUUUGCCUGAUACAAUGAACAAACGAAAAACAAGGAAAGGGAUUUCGGCCUGCGAACGCCAGCUAAGCUACCUCGAGGUGCGGUUCGUAAGCUGCAUCCUGAUCUGUGCACAAAAAUGUACAGAGUGUAGCAUCAGCACAACCGACCCUAUGUGCUGGUAAGUGCCUGGCCUAACCCCGACGAAAUAGUGACGAGGCUAGACAUGACCUACCACAAAUAACUUGUGCAGAUACAUAUGUAAUAGCGGAAAAAAUAUACAGAAUUUAAACAGCUUAUAGUGAGGGGAGCAUGCUAUGGGAUGUAACAAUUUAGAUAUAGGAUCAACGAACAAAGAGAUGGAACUGUACAAUAACAUCAAUUAAAGAGAGCAGGUAAAUCAACAACUGCACGGCACCAACAUUUGUGCUUUUACUCUCAUUCUCACCAAAACAGUCAAAUAAACACGGCAUUACCCUUCGUGCUUAUUCCUCACAUAACUCUCAUAUCAAGGCUGAAAUGACCCUUCGUGCUCAAUUAUUCAAAACAUGGCACGGAAUGACUCUUCGUGCAUAAUUAUCAAAACAUGACACGGAAUGACCCUUCGUACAUAAUCACUCUUUCUCACCCAAUUAACAGUCACAACCAAUUGGGGGGGACCGGAUAAACAACAAUAUUAAAUAUCCCGGCAAGGGAGAACAAAUCAACAAAUAAGUCCCGGCAAAGGAAUAAUACAACACUUUCUCUUUUAACUCAUUUCCUUCUCAACUAACACUUUAUAUUGAAUUAUCAAUUAAAAAAGACAAUUGUGUCACAUCUUUCGAAUUAAAAGCAAUUACGACUCACGGUCAUGCUACACUCCGGUGCAUAGAUAACCAUCAACAAGCCUAUACACUGUACUCCACAUUUAGCACAUAGCAAUUAACAUCCUAAUCCUAUUCCCUCGAGCCAGAGUUAGAUCAAACACUUACCUUGGUUCGAAAAUAGCAAUUAAAUCUCUAACAGCGCCUUUCCUCUAGAAUCCAACUCCGAAACAAUGAUAUCUAGGCACAAUUUAGUUCAAUAUUAUCAACAAGGGCUCAAAAACAUAAUCCCAUAGCCUAGAAAUGAAUUUUCUAACAUUCUUCCAAAACUACCAAAAUCUGACCCCGGGCCCACAUGGUCCAAACUCGAGUCUCAGACCAAAACCCAAUCACCCAUAAACCCACGAGAUCAAAUAUCCAAUUUGUUUUAAGAUUCGACCCUAAAUUGAGGUUGAAUUGCCCAAAAUCCCAAAAGCUCUUACUCUACCCAAAAAUCCCUAUUUUCUACUUUGAUUUAUUGAUUUAGAGCUAGGAAAUUAGUAAUUAGAUGAAGAAAUUAGGAGGGAAGGAAGUUAAGAACACUUACCCAAGAAGCUAUGGAGGAAGGGGAGCUUGGAAUUCGUCUAUGGAGGGUGAAGGAGAAGAGCUCGUGUGAAAUAAUGGUCAAAAACCCGAGCUACUGUUCUGAGGGGAGCUUGGAAUUUGUCUAUGGAGGGUGAAGGAGGAGAGCUCGUGUGAAAUAAUGGUCAAACACCCGAGCUACUGUUCUGUUUUAAACUUAAAUUCACUGGGCAGAAAAAUGGUCAUUGCAUUCGCGAUACAGCGCCGCGUUCGCAAAUAGUGGACAGGUCUGGGCAUCGCGUUCGCGAUUGGGCAAAUGCGAACGCGUAAGAGGAAAAACUGAGGGCUUCACAAUUGGUCUACGCGAACGCGUGGGCCUUACGCGAACACGUAGAGGAAAUGGCUGGGGUCUGUGGUACGCGACCGCAUAGAGUACAUCAUGAACGUGAAGAAGGAGGAAAAGGGAAAGUUAUGCGAAUGCUAGGAUGGGCUGCGCUCGUGAAGAACAAAAUUGGUCUGCAAUAACAUGAGAAAAUCCGAUGCCUUUCUGAGCCCAAAAACACUCCGAACCACCCUUGAAAUCACUCUUGAGCCCUCGGGGCUCCCAACCAAACACACACAAACUCAAUAACAUCCUAAGAAUUUAGUCGAGCGAUCAAAUCGCCAAAAUAACAUUAAAAUCAUUGAAUUAAGCCUCAAAAUCAUUAUUUUUCAUUUCAAAGUUCAUAACCUCUAACUUUAGAUAUUUAGGUCCGAAACACGUCAAACAACGUCGGAUUUCGACCAAAUUCACAGAAAGCGCUUAAUGCAUAUUUAAGACCUGUACCGGGCGUUGGAACCAAAAUACAAGCCCAAUACCUAUAUUUUCUAACUCAUUUUCAUUUAAAAUUUUCAUAUCAUUUUGAGAAAAACAAUUUUUUUCAAAAUUUCUAUACUCGGGCUCGGGGCCUCGGAUUUCAAUUCCGGGAAUACGCCCGAGUCCCAUAUUUUUUUAGAACCUUCCGGACCGUCACGUCACGGGUCCGGGUCCGUUUACCAAAAAUAUUGACCAAAGUCAACUAUAUCAAUAUUAAUAUCAAAAUUCUUCAAAUUUUUCAUAGAAUUCAUAUAUUUUAACAUAAAAUUUUUCUGGCUUCACGCCCGAAUUGCGCACGCAAAUCGAGAUAACUAAAAGCGAGGUUUUCAAGGCCUCAGAAGCACGGAAAAAGGGAGAAUUACGGUGAUGACCCUUUGGGUCGUCACAAUACUGGAUUGUUGUUGUAGUGUUCCCAUGCAAGUAUGAUUCUGCAAAUUGCACAAACUAGGCCGGAGGGUGUCUUAUCCACACUACAAACUAGUAUGCUUCAUCACAAGAAUGAACUUGAAAAGAGGGCAUACGUUCAAACUAGUAAUAAUCAUGCAUGCGUAAAAACUAUAUUUUGUUCUUUAAAUACUCACUUCUUGUCUUAUUAAUCAUUAUUCAUCCUUAAACAGCUGUGAAAUUCCGACAUGGGAGAAUAAAAUAAGAUUUUUCUUCCCGUUGCCACCUUAUCAUCUUUCUUCAUGUAAAUUUAUCCUUGGCUUUUUAGCUUGUCACCUAAAGUUCCAAAGGGUGUUCUAAAGUUUGUUUGAAUCAUGGCCCUGUACUUUUUGAGGAAUUUGGAUAGACAUGCUGGGAUUUAUUAGCCAGCAUUGUCAGCCUACUCUGCAUGAGUAGGUAUGUCUAUGUUGUGUAAAGAAAAAUAUGCUAGUAUUUUUUUUAGCUUACUCUUUUUACAGUGUUGCUUUAUUCAUGCAAUAAUGCUUGUCCUAAUAUAAAAUUUUAAAUUCCUAAUAGCAAUUGUGGGGGUGGGGGGUGGGAUGGGGAGGUUUAAGGGACUUAACAGUCUCCAGUACAAGAGCAAUUGCUCAUUAGACAACAAAUGAACAAGCAUCAUAAACUCUGAGUCUUGUAAGCUGAAUAUCUGGGGUGGGGUGGUUUAAGGGACUUAACAGUCUCCAGUACAAGAGCAAUUGCUCAUUAGACGACAAAUGAACAGGCAUCAUAAACUCUGAGUCUUGUAAGCGGAAUACCAUUUGGUAGUUGUCUUUAAUAUGAAUGAAUGAUUUGAGAAUCAGUGUACUCCCAGUGUUUGUAAGAGGCAACAUCUCUUGUACGAUGGUGGUGCUGGAGCCAGCUUGAGCACACCUCAACUAUUCCCUCGGGUACCCGCUAUCUCCUUCCAUCACAAGUACCAUGCAGUUCGGCCAAUAAGGCUUAGGCUGAUUGGAAGAAAUCACCUAGUAAGCAUCCAACGUAAUCCCAAUGGCAUCAUAGUUCUCUCUGCGCUCUGUUAACCACUAGGACACUCUUGGGUUCACAAGCAGCAACAUUUGUAAAAGGAAAAAAGUUGUGCUGGAAGUGCUUUUCUUUCAAUCAACAAUAAUUUAUUAAGGGUCAAUUUAUAGGUACGAGUCAAUUUUUUAUGGUAGUUAUUUAUGGUAGUUACUGUCUGAUAUUAUUGCAUGCUAUUUUAUUUAUGGUUNNNNNNNNNNNNNNNNNNNNNNNNNNNNNNNNNNNNNNNNNNNNNNNNNNNNNNNNNNUGCAUGCUAUUUUAUUUAUGGUUCUUAUAUUUAGAUAAUUAUUUACGCUAUUUCUGCUGGAGUUACUAAUGCUCUUUUGUUUUUGUUUUUGUUCUUCAUUUCCUUCGCUGAGCCGAUGGUCGAUUGGAAAUAGCCUCUGUGCCCUUUCGGGUAGGGGUAAGGCCCGUCUACAUAUUACCCUCCCCAGACCUCACUUUGUGGGACUAUACUGGGUAAUUGUUGUUGUUGUUGUUGUUGUUAUAGGUGCGAGUAACACAUUCAAACCUUCAAAGAUAAAUUUUAUACUCAAAAAGGAUAUAGGAUAAACUUGGAGUAAGCAUGGUGAAAAUUAGGACUCAUUUUCUCUGUAUUGCGUGGAAAGCGAACUUCUAAUAAAAUCUAAGACUUUAGACCAUACAUGGAUUUGUCCAAUAUGAACACAUAUUCAAGGUACUCAUAACUUUCAAACCCAGGGGGUUGCUUCACUUAGACUUCUUCUUUAAUUAGUCCAUUAAAAAAUGCAUUUUUGACAUCCAUUAUUAACAAGGUGAAUUCCAUAUGAGAAGCAAAGGUAAUCAGAAUUCUGAUGGCUUCCAUGUGAGUCACUGGAGGACAUGUUUUGUCAUAUUAAAUCCCUUCCUCUUGAUUGUAGCCUUGGACCACUAGCCUGGCCUUGUUCCUUUUGGUAAUUCCAUGUUCAUCGAGCUUGUUUCUGAAUACCCACUUGGUCCCUAUAAAUGGUUAUGUCUAGGGUUCUGGGUACUAGGUGCCACACACUGUUUCUCUCAAACUGAUAAAAUUCAUCAUGGUUGUAAUCCAAUUUGCAUCUUUUAAGGCUUCCUUGAUGUUCUUGGGUUCAGUAUUGGAGAGAAAGGCUGAGAAGGCAAGUGAAUUUCUAGCUCUUGAACUGGUUUGAACUCCAAAAUCUAGAGGAGUGAUUAUGUUGUAUAUAGGGUGAGAACUUUGAUGUCUCAAGUUAGAUGUCUGGGGUGGAGUGAUUAUGUUGUAUAUAGGAUGAGAACUUUGAUGUCUCAAGUUAGAUGUCUGGGGUUCAUUCUGAGAAGAAGAAGGAAUGUUUGGCUCAUUCUCAUCUAUCCUUCUCUCAGAUGCCAAUGGAGUUCCUUGAACUGCAUCAACCACUCAGUCUUCAGCUUCAAUGAUUGUAAUUGAAGUGCUUGGUUCUGGUGAUGAUGAGGCAACAUUAUAUUCAUUUGGCUUCUUCACUUGACUCAUCAAGUCUGCCUUUCCAUUUAUCAUGUUAAUGACUUCACCAGGAAUAAGGAAGGGUUCUCCAUCUUGAUCUUCCUCAGAAUUCUUCUCAAAUGAUGGAUGAGACUCAUCAAAAAUAACAUGGAUGCUUUCUUCAAUACAUUGAGUCCGCUUGUUUUAUAUCUUUGUAAGCCUUGCUUUGAGAAGAGUUGCCACGAAAUAUCCCUUCGUCACUUUUGGCAUCGAACUUACCAAGCUGAUCCUUUACAUUGUUGAGAACAUACCAUUUGCAUCCAAAAGUUCUUAGGUAAGUCAGCUUGGGUUUUCUUCCAUUCAGCAAUUCAUAUUGGGUCUUGUUCAAGAUUGAUCUAAUCAUGCACCGGUUCACUAAGUAGCAGGCAGUGUUAGCAGCUUCAUCCCAAAAGUUCUUUGUGAGUCCACUAUCAAUCAUCAUUGUUCUUGCUAUUUCUUCCAUAAUUCUGUUCUUUUUUUCUACUACUCCAUUUUGAUUUGGAAUUCUGGGAGCUGAAAAGUUGUGAGUGAUGCCAUUUUCGUUGUAGAAGUCAUCAAAUUUGACAUUGUCAAAUUCUGUCCCAUGAUCUGAUCUAAUGCAUACAACUCUAGACUUCAUCUUCACUUGGAUUUUCUUCACAAAUGCCACAACUACUUCAGCAGUUUCAUCUUUUGAUCUGAGAAACAAAGUCCAUGUAAAUCUGGAAUAGUCAUCCAUGAUCACGAAGAUGUAUCUCUUUCCUCCUAUGUUUUGCACCCUCAGGGUGUUCUAAAGUUUGUUUGAAUCAUGGCCCUGUACUUUUUGAGGAAAUUGGAUAGACAUGCUGGGAUUUAUUAGCCAGCAUUGUCAGCCUACUCUGCAUGAGUAGGUAUGUCUAUGUUGUGUAAAGAAAAAUAUGCUAGUAUUUUUUUUAGCUUACUCUUUUUACAGUGUUGCUUUAUUCAUGCAAUAAUGCUUGUCCUAAUAUAAAAUUUUAAAUUCCUAAUAGCAAUUGUGGGGGUGGGGGGUGGGAUGGGGAGGUUUAAGGGACUUAACAGUCUCCAGUACAAGAGCAAUUGCUCAUUAGACAACAAAUGAACAAGCAUCAUAAACUCUGAGUCUUGUAAGCUGAAUAUCAUUUGGUAGUUGUCUUUAAUAUGAAUGAAUGAUUAGAGAAUCAGUGUACUCCCAGUGUUUGUAAGAGGCAACAUCUCUUGUACGACGGUGGUGCUGGAGCCAGCUUGAGCACACCUCAACUAUUCCCUCGGGUACCCGCUAUCUCCUUCCAUCACAAGUACCAUGCAGUUCGGCCAAUAAGGCUUAGGCUGAUUGGAAGAAAUCACCUAGUAAGCAUCCAACGUAAUCCCAAUGGCAUCAUAGUUCUCUCUGCGCUCUGUUAACCACUAGGACACUCUUGGGUUCACAAGCAGCAACAUUUGUAAAAGGAAAAAAGUUGUGCUGGAAGUGCUUUUCUUUCAAUCAACAAUAAUUUAUUAAGGGUCAAUUUAUAG
rnacentral:lncRNA from 1 species